ACUCCUACGGGAGGCAGCAGUGGGGAAUUUUGGACAAUGGGGGCAACCCCGAUCCAGCCAUGCCGCGUGAGUGAAGAAGGCCUUCGGGUUGUAAAGCUCUUUCGGCCGGGAAGAAAUCGUGUUCUCUAACAUAGGACAUGGAUGACGGUACCGGACUAAGAAGCACCGGCUAACUACGUGCCAGCAGCCGCGGUAAUACGUAGGGUGCGAGCGUUAAUCGGAAUUACUGGGCGUAAAGCGUGCGCAGGCGGUUCUGUAAGACAGAUGUGAAAUCCCCGGGCUUAACCUGGGAACUGCGUUUGUGACUGCAAGGCUAGAGUACGGCAGAGGGGGGUGGAAUUCCUGGUGUAGCAGUGAAAUGCGUAGAUAUCAGGAGGAACACCGAUGGCGAAGGCAGCCCCCUGGGCCUGUACUGACGUUCAUGCACGAAAGCGUGGGGAGCAAACAGGAUUAGAUACCCUGGUAGUC
rnacentral:rRNA from 1 species